CUAUUGUGUAUGUGGGGUGCCACCACAGCAUGGCUUGAUGAGUGGUGUAGGUCCAUGCCUGGGAUCCAAACCUGUGAACCCGGGCCACCAAAGCAAAGUGUGCUGAACUUGACCACUACGCCACUGCGCCAGCCCCAAAUUCACCUUGUAAAAACGUACUCAAAAGAAAACGUUUUACUAUAUUCACAAGGUUGUACAAAUCAGUACCACUAUCUAAUUGCAAAACAUUUUAUCACCUUAGUAAGAAACCCUGUCUUUGUUAGCUGUCACUUCCUAUCCCUCAUCCUCCCAUACUCUGGAGACCACUAACCCGUGUUCUGUCUCCAUGGAUUUGCUGACUCUUGAAAUUCAGUCUACAUAGAACCAUGCAAUAUGUGUCCUUUUAUGUCUAGCUCCUCUCACUUAGCAUGAGGUUUUCAAAGUUCUUCCAUGUGGUAGAUAAGCACAUUAUUCUUUUACUUUAUUUUGGAAAGUUUACAUGGCAUUACAUGUGCCAUUUUAACCACUUUUCAGUGUACAGUUCUGUGACAGUAAGUACAUUCACAUUGUUGUGCGACCAUCAGCACCAUCCACUUCCAGGACUUACUCAUCUUCGACUGAAACUCUGUGUCAUUAAACACUAACUCCCCAUUCCCCUCUCCUCCCAGCCCUGGCAACCAUGUUAUCCUUUCUGUCUCUGUGAAUUUGACUUUUCUAGGACCCUGAUAGUAGAGCAAUCGUGCAAAAUUUAUACUUUCAUGACGAGCUCACUUUACUUAGCACAGUGUCUUCAAGUUCAUCCACGUGCAUUCGGUAUCAAAAUAGCCUUAUUUUUCUGGCUGCGUAAUAUUCCCUUAUAUCCAUAAAUGUCAUUUUCUUCAUCCAUCUGUUGCUGGACAUUUGGGUUGCUCCCACUUUUUGGCUGUGACAAAUGAGGACAUUUUUGUACUAGUUUUUUUGUGAAUGCAUAUUUCCAUUCUCUUGGGUAUAUACCUAAGGGCAGAAGUUCUGGGUCACAUGGUAACUCCUACGUUACCUUUUUUAUUCUGAUGAUGAUGGUUGCUGAGUGAGACUGAUGGGAUAAGAUAAUUGAGCAGCUUUCUGGAGGACGUGACUAACAGGGUGGGAAAGGGUUCCAUACAGAAAACUUGCAAAAGGAUGUAGCCCCGAGACCAGCAACAAUACAUGUUACCUAUACUCAGGGACUUGACCAUCUGUCUAGACGGUCAUCCAACAAUGAGCAUGCCUAUAAACCUGAGAGGAGAUUGUGUCACUGGUAACUGAAGGAAACAAAAACCAUUUAGUAAAACAACUCAAACUUAGUACAUUCCUCCAAGACCUACUAAACUCUGUUUACAAGAAUGUACUUUCCACAUUUUAGAAAACAGCUUCCACUUAAUACACAACAAAUGUUCACAUGCAUAGAUAUUUUAAGAAAUGGCCAUUGAAUCAGCAAGUUAAGGUAAACUGAAAUAAACAAAACCCCCAUCAGGCGCAAAAGAUAAGCACUGUCAAUAUGUGAAUAUACAACGUUCUAGACCUUUUUCUCUCUAUUGAAGUCUGAUGAUUUUUCAGUCGUUUGAUAUUGAGAUACACAUAUGUUCUUCAAAUGGUAUCAUAUUGUACCUACACUUUUAUAACCUGAUUUUUCUACUGACAGUAUUUCUGGAAUGUUUUCCGUGUUCACGAUAUUUUUCCUGACUUCACGUUUAUUACAUGAAUAUGUCAUAAUGUGUUUAAUCACAGUCAGUUUCUCUGGAAUUGGGAUAUUGAAUACUUCCUGACCAGUUCUAUGUCUUUUCUAACCUGUUCAACCUCACCUGACCCAAAGGCCAUGAGGUAAGGUGUGGUUGGAUGGUGUGGCUCCUUUUCAGUUCUGGAAGAUGUGAAUGGAUGGAGGAGGACCUGUUCAGGGCAGGGCUGAGCAGCCUAGUCUCAGGUGCAGAGCAGCUUCCCCAAAGUGGAGGACAGGCCAGAAAAAUGUCUGCUGAAGUAUUUGGGUUUCCUUGGGAUUAGGGGAAGAUUUUGGGUUUAUCUACAAUCCUUCUAAUCUUUUCAUAUGUUGUGUUUGUACAGUUAGAGGUAUUAUGCAAAAUGGAAUGGAAGAGCCAAAUGUUACUUCCUUUCAUGGUAACCCUAAAUUAUGCUUGCUCUCAUGGUCUCUUUUUCCUUUCCCAGCUCUGGAUUCUCUUUGUUCUUUCCCAGUAGAGGAAUCCCAAGGAGGACUGAUCAGUUUUGGCAGGUGCAGAACUAUGGUGAGCAGAUACCCUAAACCUCAGGUCUCUGGGGCCUUGGUGGAGGAAAACAAAGAAGAAAUGUGAAGCCAUUGUGGCCUUUUCAGUAGGUCUCAAACCUGCAUCUUAGGUGGAAGUUGGGUAAGGAUUUGGUGGGGUAAACCCAUGGGAAGAAUCAGCAUGAACUGACUUUAAGCUUGAAAAUCUGAGCAUUUGGGAUAUCUUAAUGAGAACAAUACUAAUAGAGGCACAAUUUCCUUCUCAGACUCUGGGGACCCGGCACACACUGAGGCGUGGAGUAGGGUCAUACCCACGGCACUGUUUCUUCUGGAGAGCAGCACCCACCUGCCCACUCCAUGUGGGAACCAGUCCAUUCAGAAAAAGGACCACGUUUCCAAGCCCUCUUAGAGUCUCUUACAUCCAUGAUGAGGCUUCUUUUCGUAAUAAUAAGAAGGUUGGGCAGUUUUUCUUCAUCUUUUUGGUAACUUUUAAGUCACCACGUGCUGAGAUUGCUACUGCUGAAUCAAAAAACUAGGAAAAUGCUCCCCAAAUUUAGAAAUCUACCCCUCAAUCUUGCACCUAAUAGAAUGUAGUAGAGUUUGGCUGGAAGGAAAUUCCUGGGAUAGGACCUCAAGUUUUCCUAGGAAUUCGUGUGGGACAGCUUUGCCUGUCUUUGCACAGGUCUUCACUGGGUCACCCUGCAGAUCUGCUCACACAGGCUCACAGCUCUGAUGCGCAGCCCCAUGACACGUCAAGGCCUGCAUGCAUGUGGCCUCCACAGCUGCGCCACAGGGUGGGCAGGAGGGCAGCCAAAGGCCUCUCUGCAUGUGCACAGCGCCAGGUGUGGGUGGGGGCAGGGAGGACCCCCACUGCUGAACCUGAGCCUGCCUGCCACAUCUGCACGGAGCGCCCUUGAGUGACAGGUGUACACGGAUGCCACAUCGCUGCCAAUAUAUUAUGAGACCAUGGUAACAAUCGCGCAUCUCCAGGGAGCAUGCUGCUUCGUUCUUCACUUUCAGACAUGAAAGAAAUCAUUUCAGGUGCCAGAAAAGGAUCUCUGAUAAAAGAAAACAUUUCAGCUUUCAUCGCACUUGAGUUUGCCCCAAAGCAAUGGCUUUGAUAGGAUUUUUUUUCCAGUCUCUUUCUUUAUGUUUACAGUUAAUCCAUGAUUAUCUACAGUCUUCUGGCCUAUAGGGUUCUAGUAGAAAAGAAUCGGUUUCUUUCUUUAAAAGAACAUUCUUUUUAAAAACUUAUUUGAAUGUUAUGUAUAGUAACAUUUACAUAGUGCUUGACCGUUUGCAAACAACUUUCACACACAGAACCUGGUUUUAGUUCACUUAAUCCUCACAAGAAACAUGCGAGGUAAGAAUUACAAGAUUAUCUCUGUUCGGUAAUGAAUAAUAUUAUGUUUCAUUCAAAGGGAUCGAAAAACGUGGAAUUACCCCCUGAAAAUUUCUUGACAUCCUUUUGAUGAAAUUCUCCCGCCAUCAACCCAUCAAUGGAAAACUGUGAAGAAACAGUGGAAUUGUUCGAAACAAGCCAGACAUCUGAGGCUGUUUCCUGCUUUUCCUAAAGUGCUGUCCUCAGUUACACGUGACAAGGAUGGUGGUAGGAAGUGGAACUCAGGAGCUCUGCUCUGUUUUCCUCCUCAAAGUCUUAUUAAUUCAUUGGAAUUUGCUUUGUGUUUAAGAACCCAUGACAAAUAGAGAGCAAAUUUACCCAAAUGAAGCGUCAGCUUUGUGUCCCAAUUCCUCAUUCUACAGGGUUUGAAAUUUGGAGUGUAGCAGUGCUAAAUCUACGUAUUCCUAUUUCUAUAUAUAGAUUGCUGCAGUAUAUCCUCAUUAGAUCCUUGAUCUUAGUUAAUUACAAUUAAAAGCCUCAAACUGUGGUAGCAAGAAAGAAACCCACAGUCCUCGCCCAGGAUUGCCUUGGAUUCAGGAGCCUUUGGGAUCAGGAACACAAUGCUCCCUGGCUUCCCCGGAGCACGGCAGUGGGUGGCUCCCAGUCCCAUCUGUUUCAUGAUCUCAAGGCCUGUGAUAACACCAACCCCGGCUCCAGUCAGUACCCAUUGCGAUCACAGGAGCCCACGGGCCAGGAGAGGAGGGAGGACGCAUUCCACUGCAUCCACUGUGGACGGACUGCAAGGCCUUCCCCGGAAGAGGCAACUAGAAGUGAAGUUAAUUCAGAGACAAGUUAACCAGGUGCUCAGAAAACUGUCAUGACUGCUUCUGAACAGUGGAAAGGAGAGAAGGGAAGUGCUUAUAUUUGGGAAAAUCAGGAUAAAGUCCCACAUUAACCGAUCCCUAACCUCUUUGUCUCUGACCUUUAUUAUUCUCAACUGUAAAAUGAGCGAUGUAACCAGUUCAAAAUUGUAUGAUCUUUACUUCCACUACUGUUGGAUCGAUGGUGAGUUGGGGAGAAGUGUCUGAGGAGUGUGGGCAGCUCUGACUCCGGUCCCUCCUUCCUCGCUCCCUGCGUUCAGUCAUUCACUCAUAAACACGGAGCUCUGCUCUCCACAGGCAUUAGAAGCUGAGUGCUCAAAUAUGACAAGGUGUCUGGGUGCUCCUCGCAAGGCAUAUAAUGAUUCAUUUAAUUAAGUGACCCCAGAGGAAUUAAUUUUCCUCUGAAGUUCAGCGGGCUCUUGAGAGGAUGUUUUAUUAUCCCCACUCCCCAUGGCAUGGGCCCAGCCCCUUCACUGCAGGCCAGGCUUGCAAAGCAGAGCAGUUGAGCUUUGAAGGGCAGGAAGGAUGAUGUUCCGGGAGGAGUUAGGACACAUGGCUUGACCCUCUGUUCCCCCCAGGACCAAGCCCUGGUGGGGUCAGGCGGGAGGCACUGUUCCUGCUCGUGAGGAAGCCCCACAGGAUGACAGGGAGCUCCUCUGUUGUGCAGCAUUUUGUCAAGCACGUUUUCAUCCACUUAUCCCAAGAUCAAUUCCAAUUAAACCUGACUGUUCAACACUUCCAGCGGUUCUAAUGAGCAGGUAGAGCCGGGGUGCUGACACCACGUGGAAAACAAGAAGAGGCCAGUGUUGGGGACGAGGUUGGACUCCCAUCAGGAGGUGACCCAGCAGUUCAGCUCCCAGAGCUGUCCUCUCGCUGGAGUCCAGAGGACGGGCCCACGCUUCCUGUCCCGGGUCAUCCUGACCUUCUCCUUCCUGGGUCUCUCUCCAGCUUAUCAAGGCGAGAACACCGGUGUCCUAUUCCCUUCGUGCCUCUCUGCCUCACCUGUGACCCUCACUGCCCUUCCUCCUCCCAUCCACCUGCCUUCCUGUAUCUCCCUGGGGCUCCCACGAUGAUCUUUUCUUCUAAUUUUCAGCAGAUUUUCAUUUAACCUUAUAAUUAUUCGGGGGGGAGAAGGACUUAGGAAAUUAAAAAUAACACAAUUAACAAUGUUUAAAAAUCUCUUUUUCCUGGAAACUAUUGUGGAACGGAGUCGGUACGAGAUGGUGAUGAAGAGCGGUCUGCUUAGGAACAACCAGCUCCAGUACCUCCUGUGUGACCCUGGACAAGAGCGAUCUCUCUGUGUCUCAGUUUCUCCAUUUGCCAAUCGGGCAACAGUAGUGCCUGCCUUGGAGGGCCAAUGGACUCGGAACCAGGCACCCGCGGGCACUGACGCCAGGCUAGGGGUGUGGGAGUGCUUGGGAGACCUGCGCUCCGGGCACUUAGAGUGUUGGCUCUUCUGCUUGCGUCAUGCUCAGGGAAAAUUGAUCAGUCAUUGAUACCACCUGAGGGGAAAGCACCAGCAGGAUGGACCAAGCUGAGGCCAAGACUAGGCCAUGAGCCUGCCCGUGAUCUACAGCUAGAGUCCCCAUCGAUAGAUGCCAGACACUGCAUUGAGCAGAUUGAGUGUAUUGAUGUAAAAGAAUUAUAGUCUUAUAUAUAUAUAUAUAUACAGGAGAAAUAUUCAUAAUUCCUAAAUGAGAUACCCUUCAUAUUCUCAGAUUUUUGCGACUUUACAUCAUUCUCCUCCCGGGUUGAUUAAUAUGACCAAAAUCCAGUUUGCACACCCUGCUGCUUUUAUUUAAUUAAAAGGAAAAGAAAGCA